UACGUAGGGGGCAAGCGUUGUCCGGAUUUAUUGGGCGUAAAGCGCACGCAGGCGGUCUUUUAAGUUUCGAGUGACAGGUGGUGGCUCAACUGCCACAGGCCUUGGAAAACUGGAAGACUUGAGGACGAGAGAGGGACGCGGAAUUCCAGGUGGAGCGGUGAAAUGCGUAGAGAUCUGGAGGAACACCGGUGGCGAAGGCGGGUCUCUGGGCCGAUACUGACGCUGAGGAGCGAAAGCGUGGGGAGCGAACAGG
rnacentral:rRNA from 1 species